rnacentral:tRNA from 2 species
GGGGCCGUAGCUCAGCCGGGAGAGCGCCGCCCUUGCACGGCGGAGGUCAGGGGUUCGAUCCCCCUCGGCUCCA